rnacentral:ncRNA from 2 species
CUUCCCGAGGAGCGUUGCGACGGUCGUUCGACCGCCAGGCUCGGGGCCCCGCGCCGCGUGAGCACGCUGCCGCGCGGGAUCGAGAACGGCGCUCGCCUCCC